CACCCCGUAGCUUAAUUGGUUAAAGCCUUGCACUUUUAAUGCAGAGAGUUCGAGUCUCGGCGGGGUGA
rnacentral:tRNA from 1 species